GUAGCUCCUUGAUUCCCUUUUCUUAUUAUGCUUUUCUUUUCACCCAUUUUGUGGUGGCGAAUACAGCCAGCUAACAACUGGGUUUGUGCUAUUAUUUUCAUGACCAAAUAGCAAACACCACUCUUACAUAAAAGAAGAUUCAUUUCUUCUUUGGAAUUGAAAUUCCAAUUAGGUAGUGAACUUUAAACUAUGUGGAAGUGAGGAGGACAUGUAGCUGCUAACUUUUGCUUAGAAAUGGAGGAGAAUAGCAG
rnacentral:lncRNA from 1 species